rnacentral:rRNA from 1 species
UUUUUUAAUUGGAGGCUGGAAUGAAGGGUAGGAACUGAUAGGAGUGUUUUAUUUUAUAAUUUUGAAUUUAAAUUAAAAUUAAAAAUGUUUUUGUAAUCUCUUGGGACGAGAAGACCCUAGAAGCUUAAAAUUUUUUAAAUUUUUAAUUGGGGCAAUUUUUGAAGAAAUAAAUUUUUAUUUUAUAUAAAUAUAUUUAUUAAAGUUACUCUAGGGAUAACAGCGUUAUUUAAUUGAUAAGUUCUUAUUAAUAGUUAAGCUUGCGACCUCGAUGUUGAAUUAAUUUUUAUUUUAGGUGUAGGAGCUUAAAAAGGAUAGUCUGUUCGACUAUUAGAGAAUUACAUGAUUUGAGUUCAAACCGGUUUAAGCCAGGUCGGUUCUUAUC